rnacentral:lncRNA from 1 species
AUGGCCACACCAGCCGCACCUUGCUCCAGGCCCGCCCCCAGCAGCCGCAGGGGAGGGCGGCGGGAAGGCGAGCCGAGUUUUCCCAGGCUCCCCCCUCCCGCGAACAUCUGGCCGCAAACAUCUGCCCUUAGCCUUUGUCGCCCGGCCCCAGGCCGGCCUCGCACCCAUCUGCCGCCGCCCGCGGCCCCCGCCCAUCUGCGCCGCUCCCCCGGGGCGGUUCCCGGCGCCCUCGCCCCCGCACGCCGGGCUCGGUUCCCACGGGCCGAGCGCGGGAAGCCGGGGCGGCCCAUCUGCCCGGCGCAGCGGGCCCAGCCCCGGGUGGCCCCGCGGCCCCGGGGCCCCACGCCCAGGAAUGUCUUUCGGGCGGGUGCGCGUCCCCAAAGCCCGGGGUGCGGGGCCCCGCCAGCUCGGCCCCAAGGCAGGACGGGGAGCCAGGUGUACGGAGGCAGAUACACGUGUCCUUGUGAGCAAUAUGUUGGCUUUUUCACAUCCAAGAGUUCCUCCCUUGACCUCCGGACUACCACCGGCAUUCUCCGCGGACAGUAGGACCCAGAUCUCUCAGAAGCGUGUUUCCCACCUGCUGCAUAGCCAGUCCGCAGCAUUGAAGUUCCAUUCAUAGUCCAUACAGUGUCUCUGUUGAUAGACGUUAGGUCAUUUCAACUUCCCCUCUUGCAAAUAGCACCUUAGUGAACAUCCUUGAGCUGAUAUCUUUGUGCCCAGUGUGUAGGUUUCUCUGGAAUUGAUUCAGCAAGUAGAAUUGCUGGGUCAAUUCAUAAUACUUGGUAAUAAAUUAGUAUUCUAAUUUCCUCUGGUGGGUCA